UAAAUUUAUGUUGUAUAAAACCAUUUUAGCAAUAUCAUUUUAAAAAUAUAUAUAUAAACUUUUUUAGGUUUCGUUAAAUGGAUCGGGUAUGGGUCGGGUGCGGGUCGAGUCGGGUAUGAGUCAAAAUUUUUGCAUUGUAAUAAAUGAGUCGUAAACGGGUUAAAUGGGUCGAUUUGGGUCGGACCAUUUAUGACCCGACCCAAACCCGACCCGACCCACCCGUUUAACAGGGGGGGAUACAAGUGGUGAGAUUUUGAAAAGGGGGUCGUGAGAGGAAAAGGAUGAUGAGAUGCUGGAAUAAGAAUGUGCGACUGUCGUCGACCUUUGCCAUGACAGGUGCGCUUUCAUGGCGGGUCAAAAACCCCAAUAAAAUUUUGUUUUUUUGGUUGUGUCGGGGGGAGAUGGUACUGGGUUUUCUUUAGCCCGGCUCUUCCCCCUUGGCGCGGUGUCGUCUCUGUCCCUCUGUUUCUCUGUCUCUGUCUCUGUCUCUCUCAGUUGCUGAUAUCUCGCAAGAAACCAAUUGUUUCAUUAAUCGGAAGGCAAUCAAGUUCUGACACGAUGACCUCGAAAUACGACACACGGCUUAUGCUGGAGGAAGUCCUCGAUGAUAUUCAACCCGAAGACAUCUGCGAGAGUAAUCUGGAACUUCUUUGAGAGAUCUGCUUGUCCUUCUUUCGUGGCAAAGGUCAUGUUUGCACAUGAUCUGCAAGAAGAGAGUUUGGAAUAAUAGGUGAAGUGCUGGUCCCUUGAUCGAUCUUGUAUCAUUAGAAUUCUGGUUCGUCAGCAGAAGUCCCCUUUGUUCUGUUUGGAUAAAAUAAUCCUGGAUGGUCAUUGCUAAAGUGUUUUCAGAGGGCAGAGAAACAUUUAGAUGCAGCUGUACAGGUUCUUCUAAAAUUCUAUCUAGCAGCUGGGGAUAUGACCUGCUGUUUAGUUUCAUGUUCUCCAUCAUCUUUGAAAGAGGUAAGCAUGGUAAGCAUAUGUGAGAAGGAAUCUGUAUGGCUAUCAAGAAGGAUGUGAGAGGAAGUAAUCGUGGGAUGUAAAAAAAAGUCAUAGUUAAGGACCUUUGUCAUGACAGGUGCGCUUGCAUGGCAGGUCAAAACAACCCUAAUGAGAUGUUCUUUUUUAGUAGUUGGGGGGAGAUCAGACGGGCUUUAGUUUUUUGGCUCGGCUCUCCCUUCUCUCUCUCCCUGCCUCUCUGUCUCUGUCUCUGUCUCUCUCUAAGAGAAAAUGGUUCGACAUGGCUGGUUUCUCUGAAUGAAGAAAAAAAACAUGAAGAAGAAGAUAUCCUCUUGUAAUGCCAUGGAAAUUGUUCCUAUAAUACAUAUUGGAGGUACUUAAUCACUUCUCAACUAAUAAAUAUAUAUCACUGCCAAUUUUGUAUACUAUGCCUUUACUGAAUUAAUCAUCAGCAUGACAUCGCUGCAUUUGAUAUCAUCACAGGUUUUAUGUAUCCCUUUACAGCUUUGUAUUGCUGAUGGUGAACAGCUAAUUUCUCUUCAAAAAUGGGUACAGGAAAAGGAAUCAUUACAAAGAUUGGCAUGCUACAUACUUUUAUGGAUUUGCUAUUAUUAGUUAGAGAAAUUUCCUAUCCUCUCUAUCUCUAUGAAUGGUAACCAAUAUUAAUUGUGAUUUCAUGAACACUUUAUGCAAUUGUUUUAGAAUAAAUAUAUCCAGUGGCUUCUUAUCUAAUAUUUUUCAAGCUAAGGUAGUAAUGCAAGUAAAGUGGGCCAGAUAAAUGCACUUUGUGUAAAUAUAUGGUUGAUGAAUAUAUUUUCUAAGACACUCAAUUGCAAGUUGCUUCCUGUGAAGCUGAUUAUUAGAUUCUCAAGUUGAACCAAUGUGUAUCUCUGAGGGAAGUGAUCCAUGAUUGACGAGAACGGACAUUUGUUUUGUCCUCCGGUCAUUUUGCUGUAUUCUUAUUUAUGAAGCAAUGGGAAUGGAAAUUCUGGGCAAGAUAGCUGAAGUAAGAUAUGCAUUUUGCUAUGUAUGUAGUAGAGAAAUUAUUUGUAGCCUGAAGUGGAUGUGCUUUUGGAGCAGUUAGAAUUUAGGAGUGUUCUAUUAGUGGUAUGACCAUUCCCUUGUAUUCUCAUGUACUAAGCGUGGUGUGCAUUAAGUAUGUUCUUUAUGUAAAUGGAGCCAUCUCCCUGCUAGUUUUUGGCUGUUCUAGCAUCUGGAUGGAGGAGCACUUAUCUCGUGAAGGUGUUAAAGUGGUGGUAUGAUGCCAAAUUACGAGAACAUGGCAAGCCUGAAUUGUCAAGCCUUUUUGAGAUGAACUACUAAGAGUCAGACUGGACCAGAUUUAGGACUUCGAAGAUUCAGCUAGCGAAUGGCCCGGGCUUGUCCUUCCCAUGGGUAGCAGCACCGGAUUUAGAUUUAGUCAACUCAGUCUAUAUUCAAGAUUCAAUGUGGUCUUUUCACCUCAUUUUUGUACUACUAUGGUUGAACCCGAUGUAUCUGUUGCUCGAAAAUGGACUCCAGAAGAGUUUAGGCAGCUUGGUGGAAGCUUGUGCCAACCAUGUUACAUGUGGGUUUUCUUUUUCUGUUGGUUUCCCUUGUGCUUUAAAAUGAGUCACUUGGGUGGAAUUCAGUCUAAGCUGCGUCCAGUGCUUUUAAGCUCAACAUAUGUUUUAUGUUUUGAGUGGCAUAACCUUGUUCAUCCUAGGUUUUUAUUGUUCAUACGGUUCAUUUUAUCGAAUGUUCACAGGUAACUGGGAUCUUAUAUAUUGAUUAAUCGUGUCUAAUAAAGUUGUGUGAUUUGGUAGAGAGCUAAGCUUGGUGCCAUUCGGAGUGUUGUCUUGUGUAGACAUGGAUCCUCCCUGCUGCUGGUUUGUCUUGGUAACUCUAUCCCUCGUUUGGCUCUUAUUGGUGAACUCCUGAGGGAAUCUACCGUUAUCAAAGACAACUCAAUUGUAUGCAUGCUGACUCAUUGGUAGAAAACUGAUGAACAUGUUUCCUUCCUAUCCAUAAACAAGUGGAAGAAUCUGCUUUUAAGUGCAGAUAGUGUGCUUGUCAAGGAACUGAGUAGCUGUACUGCCUUCAUUGUUGUCGAUUUCUUGGGAAGGUAUAUUCUUUAUGAGUACUGAGGACUCUGCCACUAAGUCACUGAAAUUCCCUCGUCUUUCACUGCCUGUCAAAUCAAUGUUCUUUCUUAGUUAUGGUCCUUACUGCCAAUGUUAUCUAUUUGUGCUUUUCAACGAGUAAUGCAUGGAUGUAGUAGAUAUGGUAUUGUCAGAAUCUGGUUGAUUGUUGCACAAUCUCACUGCGCCCAAUUUCUUUAAAGGAUAUGCCAAGCCGUUGCCAUGAUUUGUGGAGGGAGCUUGAGAAGCAAGAUCUGUUGGCUUCCAACAUAAUUUGGAAAAUUCCAAGUUUGAGUUAAUUAAGAGAUGCGCGGAAAUAGCGGACAGCAGGAUGUUCGUAGGUUUCUUUUCCUCUUGUGCCCCGUCAGUUACUGGAAAAAUACUCCUAUGGACCAGGUGAAGUUGAGGCCACUCCAUCCCAGCAGCUUAUAUGGAGUGGGCUCACGUAUUGGGAGCCGAUGCAUGGAGUAGUCAUUGACCGGUGAGCUUAAAAUCUAGAAUCAUGCCCUUGAAAAGGGAUAAUAGUUUUCCUUUUUGUGCCUCUGAUUAUUUUGUUGUCUGCUAGCUGGCUAACCUUACAAUCGAGUUGCAUUGAGCUUGACGAGUGGGUUACCAGA